AAAUUGAUGAAAAUAUAUAUGUUGUUUUCCUUUGACUAAUAGCUUAACAAAUUCAAGGUCAAUUGUCAAAUUGAUGCCUCAGCAAUUAACUGAUUAACCCUUAAAGCAUUUGAAAACAAUAGUAAGCUCAAAGAUAUCAAAGAGGGAGAAGUACACACCCCUAAUGUGACCUCCACAAAACACGUGAUUAAAUCAAGCCCGAUGUCAUCAUUCAUCAAACAAUGCUGUGCUCUUUACGCGGUCAUAUCACUUGUUGACUGAAUACACUGAUUGGUGACGUCAGCCAUUGCUCUGUAUUCUUUGUAAAUAAUGCCAUUGUGAGGGAAUUCAUGUUUUCUUGUGUUUGUUGCCUUGUUGUUUACAGAUGGGCAGUCAGUACCAGCGCUCAGUACCUCUAGAGGUGAGGGGAGAGCAGAGGGAGAGAGGGUCCGGACCAAGCAUCCAGACAAGAUACCGAUCAUUGUGGAGAAGUCCCCGAGGUCACGCGCCCCUGAACUGGACAAGAAGAAAUACCUGGUGCCCUCAGAUUUAACAGGAGCACCAUGAAGAGGACCUGUUUCUCUACCUGACCUACAGUAAUGAGAGUGUGUACGGUGCCUGAGUGAGGACAAAAGACUGGAGAAAGAGAGAGAGAACGAGGCUGUCUGAGAAAUAAAGAGUUAAGGCUGUUUGUAAUGCUUCACACCACUAUUAUUCUCUAUAUUAGUUUUGAUAAGUAACUACAUGGUGAAAGAAAGGCUUGGCACAGGGCAGACGUUGUCGCUGGUAGGGUUUACCGUCGUCAGUAUUUCCGGGUGAGCUUAAUGCAUUUGAGUUAACUUCAAGUUAUGUUGAUUAGAAAGAAUGAAUGCAUCGCAAAAGGAGGUUAAUGAAAUUACGUUGAGGGAUCUCUCUUAUUCUUUCUCAGUCCUCUGUAUUUAAUGCAAAUAUUUGUUGUUUUUUUGUAAAUUAAUAUCAUAAACUUUUGUGGAAAAUAAAGAUGAAAAUGCAUACA